rnacentral:rRNA from 1 species
GGAGGAAAAGAAACCAACAGGGAUUGCCCCAGUAACGGCGAGUGAAGCGGCAACAGCUCAAAUUUGAAAUCUGGCUUCGGCCCGAGUUGUAAUUUGUAGAGGAUGCUUUUGGUGAGGUGCCUUCUGAGUUCCCUGGAACGGGACGCCAGAGAGGGUGAGAGCCCCGUAUAGUCGGCCACCGAUCCUCUGUAAAGCUCCUUCGACGAGUCGAGUAGUUUGGGAAUGCUGCUCAAAAUGGGAGGUAUAUCUCUUCUAAAGCUAAAUAUUGGCCAGAGACCGAUAGCGCACAAGUAGAGUGAUCGAAAGAUGAAAAGCACUUUGAAAAGAGGGUUAAAUAGCACGUGAAAUUGUUGAAAGGGAAGCGCUUGUGACCAGACUUGUGCCGGGCUGAUCAUCCAGUGUUCUCACUGGUGCACUCGACCCGGCUCAGGCCAGCGUCGGUUCUCGCGGGGGGAUAAAAGCUUCGGGAACGUGGCACCUCCGGGUGUGUUAUAGCCCGCUGCUUAAUACCUUCGCGGGGACCGAGGUUCGCGCUCUGCAAGGACGCUGGCAUAAUGGUCAUCAGCGAC